UACUAUUGGAUGAAUUUGUUCUUCUCAGAUAUACUUUUUCUGGAUUGAUGUUUUCCUCUAGGAUUCUUGAGGAUCUUCACCCUACUAAAAAAAGGGUAACAACUUCUGAUUUUUGUCGUUCUUCUACCAUCUUCUCAAAUCUAAUUUUUUUUCUAUUAUUUUUCUUUUUUAUGGAUAUUUUUCUCUAAGAUCUACUUAUUUUUGUUCUAUUUUUUUGUUGGAUAAAUGUUUUUGUUUUCAUAUCUACUUUACUUUGUUGCAUUUAUCUGUUUGAUUGGUGUUUUUUUCUCAGAUUUACUUUGUUGUUCGUAUUUUCGUUCUUCUACAUAUUAAAGGUUGAAUAUUUUAACCUUUCACUCUUUGAUGACGACAAUAAAGAUUUAAGUACUUCUGCAUGUCUUUUUUGUUGUGAUGAAUGAAGUUUUUAUUCGAGAUAGAUGACAUAUUUGAAGAAGACAACAAAGAAUUUGUUUUUUGCGUCUAGAAGAUUAUAAUAAUGAAGGUUUUCUUUCAGAUGAAUGAAUUGCUCAAAGAAAACAACAAAGGUACAAUUUUUUCGUCUUCCAUACAAAGGUACAAGCUUUUUAUCUCCCAAAUUUUUUCGAAUCUUUUCUUCUUCCACUAAAUAUAAUUUCUUUUUUUUGGAGAUGGAUGAUUUAUUUGAAGAAUGCAGGUUGGUUUUUUUUACAAUAAAAAAGACUUAGUGAGGUAUUUUCGCAACAAUGGACUUUCAACUAUUGUGUGUCAUGGACCACUAGGCGAAGUCCAGUGCAAUUUGGUGAUAACAGCAACGUCUGUGAAGAUAGGUCGUGGCUAGAAAAAGUUUUAUGCCUUUCACUCACUAAAGGAGAAGGGUUAUGUUAUUUUCGAAGUUUAGAGUGAAAAACAAACAUGUAUGUAAAAGU